rnacentral:piRNA from 1 species
ACCCAAAUUCUCAGCGGGUGAUGAGAUG